UACGAAGGGGGCUAGCGUUGUUCGGAAUUACUGGGCGUAAAGCGUGCGCAGGCGGUCUCUCAAGUCAGGGGUGAAAGCCCAGAGCUCAACUCUGGAACUGCCCUUGAAACUGUGAGGCUCGAGUGCGGGAGAGGUGAGUGGAAUUCCCAGUGUAGAGGUGAAAUUCGUAGAUAUUGGGAAGAACACCGGUGGCGAAGGCGGCGACCUGGUCCGAUACUGACGCUGAGGCGCGAAAGCGUGGGGAGCAAACAGG
rnacentral:rRNA from 1 species